AAAGAACCAACAGGGAUUGCCCUAGUAACGGCGAGUGAAGCGGCAACAGCUCAAAUUUGAAAUCUGGCCCCCUCGGGGUCCGAGUUGUAAUUUGCAGAGGGAGCUUUUGGCGUCGGUCGUGGUCUAAGUUCCUUGGAACAGGACGUCACAGAGGGUGAGAAUCCCGUACGUGGCCGCCGGCCUUCGCCUUGUAAAGCCCCUUCGACGAGUCGAGUUGUUUGGGAAUGCAGCUCUAAAUGGGAGGUAAAUUUCUUCUAAAGCUAAAUACCCGCCAGAGACCGAUAGCGCACAAGUAGAGUGAUCGAAAGAUGAAAAGCACUUUGGAAAGAGAGUGAAAAAGCACGUGAAAUUGUUGAAAGGGAAGCGCUUGCGGCCAGACUUGCCCGCGGUUGAUCAUCCAGGCUCCGGCCUGGUGCACUCCUCCGCGGGCAGGCCAGCAUCAGUUCGGGCGGUCGGAUAAAGGCCUCUAUCACGUACCACCCCUCGGGGUGGCCUUAUAGGGGAGGCGCAACACGGCCAGCCCGGACUGAGGUUCCGCGCAUCUGCUAGGAUGCUGGCGUAAUGGCAGCAAGCGGCCCGUCUUGAAACACGGACCAAGGAGUCUAACAUCUAUGCGAGUGUUUGGGUGUCAAGCCCGAGCGCGCAAUGAAAGUGAACGGAGGUGGGAACCCUUACCGGUGCACCAUCGACCGAUCCUGAUGUCUUCGGAUGGAUUUGAGUAAGAGCAUAGCUGUUGGGACCCGAAAGAUGGUGAACUAUGCCUGAAUAGGGUGAAGCCAGAGGAAACUCUGGUGGAGGCUCGCAGCGGUUCUGACGUGCAAAUCGAUCGUCAAAUUUGGGCAUA
rnacentral:rRNA from 2 species